GGAAAGUCGGCUCUUCGUCGUGCCGCCAUGAUGGGCCACCGUCCAGUGCUCGUGCUCAGUCAGAAUACAAAGCGUGAGUCUGGAAGAAAAGUUCAGUCUGGAAAUAUCAAUACUGCAAAGAUAAUUGCAGACAUCAUCCGGAUCUGUUUGGGACCUAAAUCUAUGAUGAAGAUGCUUUUGGACCCAGCGGGAGGCAUUGUGAUGACCAAUGAUGGUAAUGCCAUUCUUCGAGAGAUUCAAGUCCAGCAUCCCGCAGCAAAAUCCAUGAUUGAAAUUAGCAGGACCCAGGAUGAAGAGGUUGGAGAUGGGACCACAUCAGUAAUUUUUCUUGCUGGAGAAAUGCUGUCUGUGGCUGAGCAUUUCCUAGAGCAGCAGAUGCACCCAACAGUGGUGAUCAGUGCUUACCGCAUGGCACUGGAUGAUAUGAUCAGCACUCUGAAGAAAAUCAGUACCCCUGUUGAUGUCAAUAACCGUGAUAUGAUGUUGAACAUCAUCAAUAGCUCUAUUACUACAAAAGUUAUCGGUCGGUGGUCAUCUUCGGCAUGCAACAUUGCACUGGAUGCUGUUAAGACUGUUCAGUUCGAAGAGAAUGGCAGAAAGGAAAUUGACAUCAAGAAGUAUGCAAGGGUGGAAAAGAUACCCCGGGGUAUCUUUGAAGACUCGUGUGUCUUACAUGGAGUUAUGAUUAACAAGGAUGUGACCCAUCCAAGAAUGCACCGCUAUGUUAAGAAUCCUCGAAUUGUUCUACUGGAUUCUUUUCUGGAGUACAAGAAAGGAGAAAGCCAGACUGACGUUGAGAUUACACGAGAGGAAGAUUUCACCCGAAUCCUGCAAAUGGAAGAAGAGUACAUCCAGCAGGAAAGGGCUUCUCAGAUUUAGCUCAGCACUACCUCAUGUGGGUCAAUAUCAUAGCCAUCCAUAGAGUCCGGAAAACAGACAAUAAUCACAUUGCUAGAGCCUGUGGGGCACGGAUAGUCAGCCAACCCGAGGAACUGAGAGAAGAUGAUGUUGGUACAGGAGCAGGCUUAUUGGAAAUCAAGAAGAUUGGAGAUGAGUACUUCACAUUCAUCACUGACUGCAAAGACCCAAAGGCCUGCACCAUUCUUCUUAGAUGAGCCAGCAAAGAGAUACUAUCGGAAGUAGAACGCAACCUCCAGGAUGCCAUGCAAGUGUGCCGCAAUGUUCUCCUGGAUCCUCAGCUGGUGCCUGGUGGUGGAGCCUCUGAGAUGGCUGUGGCCCAUGCCUUGACACAAAAAUCUAAGGCCAUGACUAGUGUGGAACAAUGGCCCUAGAGGGCUCUGGCCCAGGCUUUAGAGGUCAUCCCUCAGACCUUGAUCCAGAAUUGUGGGGCCAGUACCAUUCGUCUGCUUACCUCCCUUUGGGCCAAGCACACACAGGAGAAUUGUGAGACCUGGGGUGUGAAUGGCGCGAUUGGUACCCUAAGUGGACAUGAAAGAGCUGGGUAUUUGGGAUCCAUUGGCCAUGAAGCUACAAACAUACAGAACAGCAGUGGAGGCUGCAGUUCUGCUUCUGCGGAUUGAGGACAUUGUCUCUGGCCACAAGAAGAAGGGUGAUGACCAGAACCGGCAAACCAGUGCUCCAGAUGCUGGCCAGGAGUGAGUGCUGAGCAAGGUGACUGAACC